rnacentral:tRNA from 1 species
UCCCUGGUGGCCUAGUGGCUAAGGACUCAGCAUUGUCAUUGCUGUGGCUCAGGUUACUGCUAUGGUUUGGGUUCAACCCCUAGCCAAGGAA